AUGUGAUAGUUAAGGACUAUUUAAAGGGGGUACAGCCCCUUUAAAAAAGGACACAACCUUCAUCAGCGGAUAACCCCAUGUACUCAACCCUGUGGGCCUUAAAGCAGCCACCCCUAAAGAUUGCGUCAAAGCUCCACCAACUAAAAACCCCAAAAACCAAUGCGACUCCCUACACCUCUAGCAAGCCAACCUAUAACAAUAGAUGAAUCAAUGCUAGAACGAGUAACCAGGGCACUAUGCCCCCCCAAGCGCCAGCCUACACACCAUUAACAGCAAAACCUCAAUAACAACCACCCCUUCCCCCACCAUUGAAUACACCCUGUCAAUCCAACUCAGGGGCGCACACUGGAGUGAUCAAAGUCUACAAAAGGAACUCGGCAAACCUAAGACCCGACUGUUUACCAAAAACAUAGCCUUCAGCCAGACAAGUAUUGAAGGUGAUGCCUGCC
rnacentral:rRNA from 1 species